rnacentral:rRNA from 1 species
UACGGGGGGAGCAAGCGUUGUUCGGAUUUACUGGGCGUAAAGGGCGCGUAGGCGGCCACCGCAAGUCGACUGUGAAAUCUCCGGGCUUAACUCGGAAAGGUCAGCCGAUACUGCGGGGCUAGAGUGCAGAAGGGGCAACUGGAAUUCUCGGUGUAGCGGUGAAAUGCGUAGAUAUCAGGAGGAACACCGGUGGCGAAGGCGGGUCUCUGGGCAACAACUGACGCUGAGGAGCGAAAGCGUGGGGAGCGAACAGG